rnacentral:lncRNA from 1 species
AAACUUUCAUAUAUCAUUCAUGAAAGUACAAAGGAAGCCCUAUCUUUUGCAACAAUAAAACAUAGGGUCAUGCGGCAUUUUUGGGCAUUCACAUGGCCUUGUUUACAAACAAUGUAGAUUCGCACUGAAUUCCUAUACUGACCCCCAUUACUUUUCAACCCUGUAGGGAAAAAAAAAGUACAUUCAGCAUUUAUUUUUUUAUUUUUUUUCAACUCUAGUUUUGAUCCAUCUACCAAAAAAUAUUUAUUACAAACAUUAUCUACCAAUCAGAAGAGCACAGGACUUCACUUUUAGACAGAAAGCUCUCCCCCAAAUGGGCGGUCCCUGAUGACGUAUGUUUAUUUACUGAAUUUACCCCUAUAG